rnacentral:tRNA from 1 species
GCGUAGCUCAAUUGGUAGAGCACCGGUCUCCAAAACCGGCGGUUGCGGGUUCAAUUCCUGCCGCU